AAAAAAUUGUACUUAUGCACUAUAUAAGUCGUGGAUUUCCGAUAUUCAAAUUCAAAAAUAAAUUUUAUUACAUCAUACAACUAAAAUUAGUAAAAUCAAAAUUUGUAGUGAUACACAUUAUAAUUGGAAAACAAAGAAUGAUGUAAGUAUAAUUUUGGAACAUUUACUUAACUAAAAUAGAUAAGUAAUACAAAAAAUAUACUCCUAAACCAUAAUAUAUAUUAUGGUAUAAUUAGUCUACAUAACUAUGAAAGUUUAGUAUAAAACCUAUAUUUUUAUUCAUAUACAUGAGAAUCACAUACCUCUAUGCAAAGAAAAGAAGAAUAUAGCUAAUCACUAAAUUUUUUUUAUCAAGUGGACUCUUGAUCACCGGUUUUUAUUGAAUUUAUUCGAUUCCUGGGCUAGGGUAGCAUACCUUUUGAAUGAAGGCCUCACCGGACACUCGGCAGAACUGAUGUUUGUCUCUGCGUGGGAGGGACGAAAUAGAAGCCAUCUCACAGACGACAGGAGAGAUCACAUUAGGGCGAGUAUCCAUGUCCACUAGACCGGCAGCUACCGACGCGACGGUGUGGGAGUCAUCCUGUAGAUGCGGGAGGGAGGCAGCCAGCGAUGCAGUGGCAUCUCCUGCCUACUCAAAAGAGUCCAACGAUUACAAGAAGUGGUGGUGAUUAGUAAGAAAUAAGUAGCCAUCGACGAUUUCUGGCUAGCGAGCAAGCAUCACUGUUAGGUGAACCGGAGGGGCAUGCCGCAUCACUAGACGAAUCGGCGGCCAUGGCGCAGCCGCUGCCGCUAGACGAAUAGGCGGCCAUGGCUAUGCUCUUUUCAAGGCUCCGUUGAGGUGCGACAUGUGAAUCAUCAUUUUCCUGUGCGAGUUAUUUAUUUUAGGGUUGUUGUGAUUUUGAGGAGCAUUUGAGGUGCAGCUAGUGAACGAGGGGUUUGAUGUGGGGUUUCUCUUGGUUUGUUCUUCCUUGGAGAGGGAAGUUUAUUUAUUUAUCAGUACUAAUGAAGCUAUGUGUUGAUUCCCGGUGUUUGUACAUAUCCGUAUGUACAUGUAUCAAGUGCAUUUGAUUUUGUAGGAAUUCUCGGCCCAAGAGGCUCCUACAAAUCACAGAUCGAGAUACGUGCGUGGUCAUAGCUCAAGUGCUCUGUUUCGGCUCAAUUUAUCCAGUUUAUCUGAACUAUGGCAGUAGUUCAGUUCAAUUAAUCCGAG
rnacentral:lncRNA from 1 species